GCGCGCUCCUUAUGAGAAUCUAACGCCUGAUGACCUAUCACUGUCUCCCAUCACUCCCAGAUGGGACCGUCUAGUUGCAGGAAAACAAGCUCAGGGCUCCCACUGAUUCUACAUUAUGCCUUUUGCAGCUCCUGCAUGUGGAUACCAGCACCAGCAGCUCCCCGACCAGGGGCCCCAGCUAAGCCCUCCCAGAGGAUGAUCUUGGCUUUGUACAUGGGGUGUCAAUAUCCUGUGAGUCCAACAGAGGGAAGACAUAAGAAUAUGGUCACCCAGGUUUUGUACAGAGGAAAUCCAGGCUCCUAACGAUGGCGAAAGAUGGGAAUAAAAGGAUCAGAACACUGAGCUGGAUCUUCAGUUCAUUUCAGGGCUCUGCUCAAGUCCCUGCACCAAUGCAACCUGCCAAGGGAAAGCGCUCACCAUGGUUCUGUCUUGACCUGCCAGUUUAGAUACCCAUCUAAAGUCACUGUCGCUUACAGUUGUGGCAAUUCUGAAUGUCGACAGGAGAAUGUCUCCCGGAUUUCAGCCUUUUAGAAGAUAAAAUGGUCCUAUGUGUUCAUGAACAAAACCCACCAGUUUCCCCAGGGCAGUGAGUUACCUGACAUCUGGCAGAUUCCUGGAAGGUUUCCUCUGGCCCCAUACUGGGAUCCAUUCCUGGGACAACUAGAAGUGCCAGGGAGUUAAAGCCCCAAGAGCGACCUUCAAGCCAAUAAGAGAUGGAGUUGGAAUGAAAACCUCAGCUUCCUCAUACCUCAGUGGGACAAUCCUGAGAUGUGUUCCUCAAGUCUCUCCAAGGACCUGAUGGGACUGAGUCCUGGUUGCUCAUGAGAGAAACCAGCAGGACUGGAUGUCAGUGAUUGCACCAUGCAGGAUUACAGAUUGUGCUGAGUUUAGAUUUUCUGCCUUCCUCCUCAGUUGUCAGGCUGCUAGCCAGCUCUUCUGCUCCCAUGACACCUGCAUCGAAUGCCUGCCCUUUCCUUACUACAAGACCCUUUCCAGUUCCCAGAUUAGAAUCUGCCACAGGCUAGGAAUCCCACAUCCCAGUAGUGAUUUGGCUCCAAGUGCAAAGGCACCUAGUGUCUGCCUUUUGUUCAGCAGCUUGGUGAUGGACAUAUCCAGGACUCAGAGACCCCUUUCCCUCAGCUCUCUGAGUUGGAAGCUGUCAGGUGCAGAAGGGCAACAUCUUACAUACACAGGGUUUGGGCAGGUCUGGGCAGUGCCUGGUUAAUGUUAAAUAAUGCAGAUAAAGGAAUUGUUGACAUCUGAAAGUCAAUAUGAAAAUUGUAUGCACUGCUGUGACUCAUGCAACUUCACUCCCAGCCCUGGUUCUCAUGAUUCCAGAAGUGGAAAAAAUAAGGCAACUCUUUUCCUCACAAUUCAAAAAAAUACCUAUUGAGCAACAUCAGCUUGGCCCACACAAGACAAUUUUUAUCCCUUCCGUUAGUUAACUUUGCUUUGGCCAAAGGCCAGAAAAACCUCAUUCUUUACAGGCAACCUCAGACCACCAUCCUGGAUCCACUUCAAAAACUAACUGCAGACCUGUGUCUUACUAGAGGUGAUUUGGUAGCAUUGAAGAUCAAAUCCCGAUUUAAAAAAUUAAAAAAAAAAUGAACAUAAAAUGCAUUUUUAACAAUGU
rnacentral:lncRNA from 1 species